rnacentral:rRNA from 1 species
AUUGAACGCUGGCGGCAUGCUUUACACAUGCAAGUCGAACGGUAACAGGCCGCAAGGUGCUGACGAGUGGCGAACGGGUGAGUAAUGCAUCGGAACGUGCCCAGUCGUGGGGGAUAACUACUCGAAAGAGUAGCUAAUACCGCAUACGAUCUAUGGAUGAAAGCGGGGGACCGUAAGGCCUCGCGCGAUUGGAGCGGCCGAUGUCAGAUUAGGUAGUUGGUGGGGAAAGGCUCACCAAGGCAACGAACCGUAGCUGGUCUGAGAGGACGACCAGCCACACUGGGACUGAGACACGGCCCAGACUCCUACGGGAGGCAGCAGUGGGGAAUUUUGGACAAUGGGCGCAAGCCUGAUCCAGCAAUGCCGCGUGCAGGAAGAAGGCCUUCGGGUUGUAAACUGCUUUUGUACGGAACGAAACGGCUCUGGUUAAUACCCGGGGCUAAUGACGGUACCGUAAGAAUAAGCACCGGCUAACUACGUG